rnacentral:lncRNA from 1 species
UGCUCCAGCAGUGCUGGUGUCAUGUUUGUAGGAAGCUGUCUAUGGACUACAGUAUUUCCCAGUGCCAGUCUGCAGACACUGCACGGCGAGGUGCUCUUGUGUCACUAGCUUUGUUGAAAAUGCUUAAUAUUGCAAGGCAUUCUUGAGUAUUUGCUGCUUUAAUCAAAGAUUAGAAACAGUGAAAUAAAUUUUAUGUGUUAACUCAUUUUUCUAAAAUAAAAUGUCUUUAUUGGAUUGAAUGAACAUUGAUUAUUAAAAAGAGCUCUAAAAAUUCUUUUGCUUUCAUGAUUCUUGUAGCAAUCAGAUAUCAGUCCUAAAAUCACUUUCUAACCUGCCUCUAUUAUACUUAUAGGAGAAAAAAGAUGACAAGCAUCCACAUAUACUGUUCGAUUCUCUCUAUUACAGCCUCCCAAUAGAACAUUUCUUCCUGCGCCAAUCUAUCAGUGCAGCUCAGACUCUGGAAGCAAAUGACCUCUCUUGGCAGAGCCUGCACUGUAUGGGGAACAUCAGAUUUGUGUAAAGAAGAUCACCUGUCUCUUCUCAGCUGUGCACUGUAGAGAAGGUGCUGCAAAGGCCACAGUUACUCAGGAAAAUUUGGGGCUGUUUUCUAGGUUCAAGAGAGACUGGACAUCAAAGCUGCACUGGGACAUGUGG